AAAUAAGAAGCAAUUUGUGCAAUUAGUUUCGACCUAAAAUUAGAUUUUUUAAUCCUUAUUUA
rnacentral:tRNA from 1 species